rnacentral:tRNA from 1 species
GGAGAGGUGGGAGAGUGGUUUAAUCCAACAGCCUGGAACGCUGUCAUGGUCGCAAGGCCAUCGCGAGUUCGAAUCUCGCCCUCUCCGCCA